AUUAACUAUACCUUAUAUAAGCAAAAAAAAACAGUAUAUACCAUCACCAAGACCAAGAGGGAAAAGGCUGUGUUUCACUUCACUAUCAAGGAACUGAGCCAAUAUAAGUGCAAAGCUGUAAACCAGUGUAAUGACUUCAAAUACAGUCCUGCUUUCAACUUUACAUUAAGAGAACUGAGCCACAGUUCCGUCCUACACAUUGUGUUUUCUGUGAUGCUGCUGAUAGUGCUACCUGUGGCAAUUUCCUUGCUGAUCCUUUGGUGUAAAGCAAGGAAACGGAAGUCAACGAAGUUAACCGCUAGUUCUGCUCCAACCACUUCCCCAACUUCAGAAAACGAUACAACUUACGAUGAAAUUGCACUUGAAGACAGAGAUCAAGUCGAAUAUGCCAAAGUGAGAUUCAAUGCUAACAAUCAAGAAGACUUCAGGAAUGUUACCUUCGAAGAGGAUACGACAGAGGAUGCCACAGUGAAUUAUGCAGAAAUUGUCACCAGAAGAUAAGAGGGGGGAAAUGUUCAGGAUUUACAUGACAAGCAAGUUUUUUUCCCCUUAGAUUAUUUGGUUGCACCAACUUCCCUCCUCCCCCUUUGGUAUCCUGCACUUCCUCUUUUACAGGAAACUGGUUUACACUUACCCUCCAAGCCAUGAUUAAAUCAUGGCCUGCAAUUCUGGUUUGAAGGACAAAUGAUCUGGAUGCAACAAGCAGUGAUGAUUGAACACGAAGGGGAGGGCCACUGGAGUUAAGUAUGCAGCAGGCAGAAGGAAGUGCACAAGACUGCGACUUGCUCAUGUAA